AUUGAACGCUGGCGGCAGGCUUAACACAUGCAAGUCGAGCGGAGAUGAGGUGCUUGCACCUUAUCUUAGCGGCGGACGGGCGAGUAAUGCUUAGGAAUCUGCCUAUUAGUGGGGGACAACAUUCCGAAAGGAAUGCUAAUACCGCAUACGUCCUACGGGAGAAAGCAGGGGAUCUUCGGACCUUGCGCUAAUAGAUGAGCCUAAGUCGGAUUAGCUAGUUGGUGGGGUAAAGGCCUACCAAGGCGACGAUCUGUAGCGGGUCUGAGAGGAUGAUCCGCCACACUGGGACUGAGACACGGCCCAGACUCCUACGGGAGGCAGCAGUGGGGAAUAUUGGACAAUGGGGGGAACCCUGAUCCAGCCAUGCCGCGUGUGUGAAGAAGGCCUUAUGGUUGUAAAGCACUUUAAGCGAGGAGGAGGCUACUGAGACUAAUACUCUUGGAUAGUGGACGUUGCUCGCAGAAUAAGCACCGGCUAACUCUGUGCCAGCCGCCGCGGUAAGAC
rnacentral:rRNA from 1 species